GGGGCUAUAGCUCAGCUGGGAGAGCGCCUGCCUUGCACGCAGGAGGUCUGCGGUUCGAUCCCGAUAGCUCCC
rnacentral:tRNA from 1 species